CUCAGUAAGGGCGACUGAAGCGGGAACAGCUCAUUCUGUGAAUCUCUGCUUCGGCAGCGAGUUGUGGAAAGGCAUGUCAGCUAAGCUACUGGUCUAAGUCUCUUGGAAAAGAGCGCUUGAAAGGGUGACAGCCCCGUCUUUGACUGGUUAGCUGUGGCUUUAGCACAUGUUUUAUACGAGUCGAGUUGCUUGGGAUUGCAGCUCUAAGUGGGUGGUAAAUUCCAUCUAAAGCUAAAUAUUGGUGGGACACCGAUAGCGUACAAGUACCGUGAGGGAAAGAUGCAAAGAACUUUGAAAAGAGAGUUAAAGAGUACCUGAAAUUGCUGAAAUGGAAGCGAAGGAAACCAGUGCCAUUCUUCACUAUUUUUCUGUUCCUACUUGUGGGAACAGCGCUGUGGUGUUGAAUAGGCCAGCGUGGGUUUGUACCGGGGGAUAACACUCAUCAGAAGGCAGCUAGAUUUCCUAGCGAUUGCUGUUGAGCUGUGCUCUGGUACAGACUGAGGCUAGUCACUUGUGCUCGUGACGCUGGCGAAAUGGUUUUCUUCACCCCGUCUUGAAACACGGACCAAGGAGUCUAACAUAUGUGCGAGUAUUGGAGUGGCAAACUCAAAUGCGAAAUGAA
rnacentral:rRNA from 1 species